CCGGCGCGCGCUGUUUCCGGAAGUCGCCGCCGCGGUCUCCGCCGCUUCUGCCUUCGCUGCUGCUGCGGUCCCAGCGGAACUUUUCGUGUAGGACGGCCGAGGCGGGCCCAGGCGGGGCCGGGGUUCCGGCCACUCUGCAGAAUGGAGAUAAUCAGGAGCAAUUUUAAGAGUAAUCUUCAAAAAGUGUACCAGGCCAUAGAGGAGGCCGACUUCUUCGCCAUCGAUGGGGAGUUUUCAGGAAUCAGUGAUGGACCUUCAGUCACUGCAUUAACAAAUGGUUUUGACACUCCAGAAGAAAGGUAUCAGAAGCUUAAAAAACAUUCCAUGGACUUUUUGCUGUUUCAGUUUGGCCUUUGCACUUUUAAGUAUGACUACACAGAUUCAAAGUAUAUAACGAAGUCAUUUAACUUCUAUGUUUUCCCGAAACCCUUCAAUAGAUCCUCGCCAGAUGUCAAGUUUGUUUGUCAGAGCUCAAGCAUUGACUUUCUAGCAAGCCAAGGAUUUGAUUUUAAUAAAGUUUUUCGCAAUGGAAUUCCCUAUUUAAAUCAGGAAGAAGAAAGACAGUUAAGGGAGCAGUAUGAUGAAAAACGCCUACAGUCCAAUGGUGCAGGAACUCUGUCUUACGUAUCUCCCAACGCGUCAAAAUGUCCUGUGACGAUUCCUGAGGAUCAGAAGAAGUUUAUUGACCAAGUGGUAGAGAAAAUUGAAGAUUUAUUACAAAGUGAAGAAAACAAGAACUUGGAUUUAGAGCCAUGUACUGGGUUCCAAAGAAAACUAAUUUAUCAGACUUUGAGCUGGAAGUAUCCCAAAGGCAUUCACGUUGAGACUUUAGAAACUGAAAAGAAGGAGCGAUACAUCGUCAUCAGCAAAGUAGAUGAAGAGGAACGUAAAAGGAGGGAGCAGCAGAAACACGCUAAAGAACAGGAAGAACUGAAUGACGCUGUGGGAUUUUCUAGAGUUAUUCAUGCCAUUGCCAAUUCGGGAAAACUCGUCAUUGGACACAAUAUGCUCUUGGAUGUCAUGCACACGGUUCAUCAAUUCUACUGCCCUCUGCCUGCGGACUUAAAUGAGUUUAAGGAGAUGACAACAUGUGUUUUCCCCAGACUCUUGGAUACAAAAUUGAUGGCCAGCACACAACCUUUUAAGGAUAUCAUUAACAACACAUCUCUUGCAGAACUGGAAAAGCGGUUAAAAGAGACACCUUUCAACCCUCCUAAAGUUGAAAGCGCAGAAGGUUUUCCAAGUUACGACACAGCUACUGAGCAACUCCACGAGGCAGGCUAUGACGCUUAUAUCACAGGGCUGUGCUUCCUCUCCAUGGCGAACUACCUAGGUUCUUUUCUUAGCCCUCCAAAAAUUCACGUGUCUGCCAGAUCAAAACUCAUUGAACCUUUUUUUAACAAGUUAUUUCUUAUGAGAGUCAUGGAUAUCCCCUAUCUCAACUUGGAAGGACCAGACUUGCAACCAAAACGCGAUCAUGUUCUCCAUGUGACAUUCCCCAAAGAAUGGAAAACCAGCGACCUUUACCAGCUUUUUAGUGCCUUUGGUAACAUUCAGAUAUCCUGGAUUGAUGACACAUCAGCGUUUGUCUCUCUCAGCCAGCCCGAACAAGUACAGAUUGCCGUCAAUACCAGCAAAUACGCGGAAAGCUAUCGGAUCCAGACCUAUGCUGACUAUGUGGGAAAAAAACACGAGGAGAAGCAGAUCAAGAGAAAGUGGACAGAAGAUAGUUGGAAGGAGGUUGAGAGAAAGCGGUUAAACACUCAGUGCAUAUCCUAUGCUCUGCAGAAUCACUAUCACCACGCCAAUAGUCUUACCUCGACCAGCACGGUAGGAAAGAGAAAUCUGAGCCCCAGCCCAGCAGAAGCUGACUUGGAGACCAGAAUAUCAGGGGAGAUUUCUGACACUGAGCUGGAGCAGACAGAGUCCUGUGCAGAAUCCCUCUCCGAGGGAAGGAAAAAGGCCAAGAAAUUAAAAAGGAUGAAGAAGGAGCUUUCGCCAGCAGUCCCACUAAAAGAGAAAAACAUCUUGACAGCUUUUAAUUGAACCAGAGACCUGGAGAUAAUUGGGCUUUCUGGAGCAGCAUUCACCGAGUGAGACCUUCCAGCAGCGCAAAGCUGGGAGUUUAACGGGUCAUUCUUAGCUGCUUUGUGGAGGCCUCCCGGGUAGCCCUGCCAAGCUCUUCGAGGUUCCCGACACGUGGUAACCGAGACCCGAAGGAAAACAAAUCGCUGGUGCCGUGGCUGAGGAAGACCCAGCUGGCACAUUCAGAAGCCAUACUGUAUUUAAUUUCAUGAAAUGUGGUAUGGGAGGGGUUUGAAGCCAAGUCUGUGUCCUGGCAAAAACCCAGUUUCUUUUAUUUGUGUGGCUGUGUUUCUUUUCUUCCUUUUUAAUGUAAACUGUCUGCUGACACUCAGCACGGUUGUAGGCCGUCUUGAAUGUGCACAUUAUUAACCAGUUGAUGAUUUGUUGCUCAUGUGAAACCCCUUUUCCAGUGUCAUGAAUUUUAGCGCGUUUAAGAACCUACCUGGUGGGGAUCGUCGGCUGUGAAAUAAGCGAAGAGCCGACAUUCUUGGGCGCCGGGAUCGUGAGUUUUGGGGUUGAAGUCUUUACUGCUUCGAGAGGUUUCUUUUUGUGUUCUCGUGCGCAGAUUUGGGGGCCUCCGCAGCGCGCGGUUACAGUCUCCCCCGUGGAGAGACCCCUCGCGUCUGCCCACUUCCCGCCAUAGCUGCCUGAAAAUACUAAGCACUCCAGCUUGUUUUUCCAGUAGGAAAAUGUCUAACGCCGUCCACCCAUAAAGACGCUUACUAUAUGCCUUGGCCUUUGGGGCAUUUUUAUUUAGAGUCCUUCUUCCUAACUUGUGAGAUUCUCAAGGCGAACUGGACGAGUACAAAAAGUUCACUUCUGUUUUUACACGUAGUGCUGUGUUCCCUUUUCCGUACCUUAGCCUCCUUGCCGUCUCUGUUCGGGAGUGUGUCCGGGGGUAAGGUGGCAUGUGUGUGUACACGUGCGUGUGUGUGUGCGUGUGUGUGUGAAAUCACAGAUUACAACGUGUACCAGCCCUCUCUCUGUUGAAACAGAUCACAGCAGUGACAGGAUUUCAUGGAUCUACUUCCGUAGGUCUGUUUCAUGUAGAUCAUUGUUAGAUAUUUAACAUUUUUUUUGUAUCAUGGAAAAUAAAAAUGAAAAAUGUAUUUCCAAGAGAUGAAAAUUAAAGAAAUUUUCCUAGGA